rnacentral:rRNA from 1 species
UACGAAGGGGGCUAGCGUUGCUCGGAAUCACUGGGCGUAAAGCGCACGUAGGCGGAUUGCUAAGUCAGGGGUGAAAUCCUGGAGCUCAACUCCAGAACUGCCCUUGAUACUGGCGGUCUCGAGUCCGGGAGAGGUGAGUGGAACUGCGAGUGUAGAGGUGAAAUUCGUAGAUAUUCGCAAGAACACCAGUGGCGAAGGCGGCUCACUGGCCCGGUACUGACGCUGAGGUGCGAAAGCGUGGGAGCAACAGG